UACGUAGGGGGCAAGCGUUGUCCGGAAUCAUUGGGCGUAAAGAGCGCGUAGGCGGCCCGGUAAGUCCGCUCUGAAAGUCAGAGGCUCAACCUCUGAAUGCGGGUGGAUACUGCCGGGCUAGAGUCCGGAAGAGGCGAGUGGAAUUCCUGGUGUAGCGGUGAAAUGCGCAGAUAUCAGGAGGAACACCGGUGGCGAAGGCGGAUCUCUGGGCCGUGCCUGACGCUGAGGCGCGAAAGCGAGGGGAGCGAACAGG
rnacentral:rRNA from 1 species